rnacentral:rRNA from 1 species
AUUGAACGCUGGCGGCAGGCCUAACACAUGCAAGUCGAGCGGAUGAGUGGAGCUUGCUCCAUGAUUCAGCGGCGGACGGGUGAGUAAUGCCUAGGAAUCUGCCUGGUAGUGGGGGACAACGUUUCGAAAGGAACGCUAAUACCGCAUACGUCCUACGGGAGAAAGUGGGGGAUCUUCGGACCUCACGCUAUCAGAUGAGCCUAGGUCGGAUUAGCUAGUUGGUGAGGUAAAGGCUCACCAAGGCGACGAUCCGUAACUGGGCUGAGAGGAUGAUCAGUCAAACUGGAAAUGAGGCACGGUCCAGACUCCUACGGGAGUGAGCAGUGGGGAAUAUUGGACAAUGGGCGAAAGCCUGGUCCAGCCAUGCCGCGUGUGUGAAGAAGGUCUUCGGAUUGUAAAGCACUUUAAGUUGGGAGGAAGGGCAGUAAGUUAAUACCUUGCUGUUUUGACGUUACCAACAGAAUAAGCACCGGCUAACUUCGUGCCAGCCGCCGCCGUAA